rnacentral:rRNA from 1 species
GGCCGGGGAUGAGUGGCGAACGGGUGAGUAACACGUGGGUAAUCUGCCCUGCACUCUGGGAUAAGCCUUGGAAACGAGGUCUAAUACCGGAUAUCACAACUCUUCGCAUGGGGGGUUGUUGAAAGUUCCGGCGGUGCAGGAUGAACCCGCGGCCUAUCAGCUUGUUGGUGGGGUAAUGGCCUACCAAGGCGACGACGGGUAGCCGGCCUGAGAGGGUGACCGGCCACACUGGGACUGAGACACGGCCCAGACUCCUACGGGAGGCAGCAGUGGGGAAUAUUGCACAAUGGGCGCAAGCCUGAUGCAGCGACGCCGCGUGAGGGAUGACGGCCUUCGGGUUGUAAACCUCUUUCGCCAGGGACGAAGCGCAAGUGACGGUACCUGGAUAAGAAGCACCGGCUAACUACGUGCCAGCAGCCGCGGUAAUACGUAGGGUGCGAGCGUUGUCCGGAUUUAUUGGGCGUAAAGAGCUCGUAGGCGGUUUGUCGCGUCGGCCGUGAAAUCUCCACGCUUAACGUGGAGCGUGCGGUCGAUACGGGCAGACUUGAGUUCGGUAGGGGAGACUGGAAUUCCUGGUGUAGCGGUGAAAUGCGCAGAUAUCAGGAGGAACACCGGUGGCGAAGGCGGGUCUCUGGGCCGAUACUGACGCUGAGGAGCGAAAGCGUGGGGAGCGAACAGGAUUAGAUACCCUGGUAGUCCACGCUGUAAACGUUGGGCGCUAGGUGUGGGCGACAUCCACGUUGUCCGUGCCGUAGCUAACGCAUUAAUC